rnacentral:rRNA from 1 species
CCUACGGGAGGCUGCAGUGGGGAAUAUUGCACAAUGGGCGCAAGCCUGAUGCAGCCAUGCCGCGUGUGUGAAGAAGGCCUUCGGGUUGUAAAGCACUUUCAGCGGGGAGGAAGGCGGUGAGGUUAAUAACCUCAUCGAUUGACGUUACCCGCAGAAGAAGCACCGGCUAACUCCGUGCCAGCAGCCGCGGUAAUACGGAGGGUGCAAGCGUUAAUCGGAAUUACUGGGCGUAAAGCGCACGCAGGCGGUCUGUCAAGUCGGAUGUGAAAUCCCCGGGCUCAACCUGGGAACUGCAUUCGAAACUGGCAGGCUAGAGUCUUGUAGAGGGGGGUAGAAUUCCAGGUGUAGCGGUGAAAUGCGUAGAGAUCUGGAGGAAUACCGGUGGCGAAGGCGGCCCCCGGGACAAAGACUGACGCUCAGGUGCGAAAGCGUGGGGAGCAAACAGGAUUAAUACCCCUGUAGUC